rnacentral:rRNA from 1 species
UACGGAGGGUGCAAGCAUUGAUCGGAAUUACUGGGCGUAAAGGGCGCGUAGGCGGUUAAAUAAGUCAGAUGUGAAAUUCCGGGGCUCAACCCCGGAGCUGCAUUUGAAACUAUAUAACUAGAGUUCAGUUAGGGUAAACGGAAUUCCACGUGUAGCGGUGAAAUGCGUAGAUAUGUGGAAGAACACCGGUGGUGAAGACGGUUUACUGGGCUGAUACUGACGCUGAGGCGCGAAAGCAUGGGGAGCAAACGGG